CCUGGGCAUGGUGGUGCAUGCCUGUGGUCCCAGCUACUUGGGAGGCUGAGGCAGGAGAAUUGCUUGAACCCAGGAGUUUGAGGCUGUGGUGAGCCAUGACUGUGCCAUUGCACUCCAGCCUGGGUGACAGAGUGAGACCCAGUCUUUU
ensembl:misc_RNA Metazoa_SRP Metazoan signal recognition particle RNA